rnacentral:rRNA from 1 species
UACGAAGGGGGCUAGCGUUGCUCGGAAUUACUGGGCGUAAAGCGCACGUAGGCGGAUUGUUAAGUCGGGGGUGAAAUCCUGGAGCUCAACUCCAGAACUGCCUUCGAUACUGGCGAUCUCGAGUUCGGGAGAGGUGAGUGGAACUGCGAGUGUAGAGGUGAAAUUCGUAGAUAUUCGCAAGAACACCGGUGGCGAAGGCGGCCAACUGGACCAUUACUGACGCUGAGGCGCGAAAGCGUGGGGAGCAAACAGG